rnacentral:rRNA from 1 species
GCGUAAGAGCUCGUAGGCGGUUCGAUAAGUCGGGUGUGAAACCUCCAGGCUCAACCUGGAGACGCCACCCGAUACUGUCGUGACUAGAGUCCAGUAGGGGAGCGUGGAAUUCCUGGUGUAGCGGUGAAAUGCGCAGAUAUCAGGAGGAACACCAGCGGCGAAGGCGGCGCUCUGGGCUGGCACUGACGCUGAGGAGCGAAAGCGUGGGUAGCGAACAGGAUUAGCUACCCUGGUAGUUCACGCCGUAAACGUUGGGUACUAGGUGUGGGGUCUUAUCAACGGAUUCCGUGCCGAAGCUAACGCAUUAAGUACCCCGCCUGGGGAGUACGGCCGCAAGGCUAAAACUCAAAGGAAUUGGCGGGGGAGCACA